rnacentral:rRNA from 1 species
ACCCGUUCCCAUACCGAACACGGAAGUUAAGCUUCUCAGCGCCGAUGGUAGUUGGGACCUUGUCCCUGUGAGAGUAGGACGUUGCCAGGC